GUCUCACCACCUGUUGUCGUUUCAUGAUCGUCAGUCCUGGUCUUCUUCAUGCUGCUUCAGGUCAUCACCCUCUCUCCUUCACUCGUGAGUUCCUAGUGUUUCUCAAGAGUGAAUUUCAGUGAAUUAACCCUGCCCCCAUCAUCGGAUACAGAAUGAAGCAGAGACGGAAAGAAUCCUCGAAUUGUGAAAACUACUUUGGUUCGUGGAUUUAACUUCACACUGUUCGAAAAUGCUGGUACAGGUGGAGUAAGGAUGGAUGGAGUCCAAAAAUACAUAUGUGCAUAUAUUCUUACUGUGUUCUUGGUUUCCUGUACUGUUUCUGUUCAUGGACUUUACCUAAUUAAAGGACACUCUUAGUUAA